GACGAACGCUGGCGGCGUGCCUAAUACAUGCAAGUCGAACGAAGUGGGGACGGGUGAGUAACACGUGGGUAACCUCCCAUCAGAGGGGAUAACACUUGGACACAGGUGAUCAACCGAUACUGAUGGAUGGAACCGCGGUGCAUUAGCUAGUUGGUGAGGUAACUGCUCACCAAGGACACGAUGCAUAGCCUGCCUUAGGGGUUUGUGGGCCACACCUGGACUGAGACACGGCCCAGACUCCUACGGUAGGCAGCAGUAGGGAAUCUUCGGCAAUGGACGAAAUUCUGACCGAGCAACGCCGCGUGAGUGAAGAAGGUUUUCGGAUCGUAAAACUCUGUUGUUAGAGAAGCGGUAUCUAACCAGAAAGCCACGGCUAACUACGUGCCAGCAGCCGCGGUAAUAC
rnacentral:rRNA from 1 species